GGCUGUAUUGGUCUGGGUUAUGAGGUGUGUGUUUAUGGCUGUAUUGGUCUGGGUUAUGAGGUGUGUGUUUAUGGCUGUAUUGGUCUGGGUUAUGAGGUGUGUGUUUAUGGCUGUAUUGGUCUGGGUUAUGAGGUGUGCAACCAUGGCUGUAUUGGUCUGGGUUAUGAGGUGUGUGUUUAUGGCUGUAUUGGUCUGGGUUAUGAGGUGUGUGUUUAUGGCUGUAUUGGUCUGGGUUAUGAGGUGUGUGUUUAUGGCUGUAUUGGUCUGGGUUAUGAGGUGUGUGUUUAUGGCUGUAUGGGUCUGGGUUAUGAGGUGUGUGUUUAUGGCUGUAUUGGUCUGGGUUAUGAGGUGUGUGUUUAUGGCUGUAUUGGUCUGGGUUAUGAGGUGUGUGUUUAUGGCUGUAUUGGUCUGGGUUAUGAGGUGUGUGUUUAUGGCUGUAUGGGUCUGGGUUAUGUGGUGUGUGUUUAUGGCUGUAUGGGUCUGGG
rnacentral:lncRNA from 1 species